GGGGUAUCGUUUCGCAUAGGUUACGGGGGUAUCGUUUCGCAUAGGUUACGGGCGUAUCGUUUCGCAUAGGUUACGGGCGUAUCGUUUCGCAUAGGUUACGGGCGUAUCGUUUCGCAUAGGUUACGGGGGUAUCGUUUCGCAUAGGUUACGGGGGUAUCGUUUCGCAUAGUUUACGGGCGUAUCGUUUCGCAUAAUUUUCGGGCGUAUCGUUUCGCAUAGGUUACGGGCGUAUCGUUUCGCAUAGCUUACGGGCGUAUCGUUUCGUAUAGUGUACCGGUUUCGGCUUGUUCACGGGCGUGCUGUUUGCACGCCCGUGCUAUGCGAAACGAUACGCUCGUAAGCUGUACACAAAAAACUACACCGAUGGACUCACUCACUCGAAACGGGGUGUCUCGGGGCCGGGGUCGAGGAGGAGGCGGCCUCUUAGGCGAAGGUGUCGCCGGCUGCCUCUUUCUGGGCCAGGGCCGGCAGCCACCUCCACUUCGAGCCCCGCGCCAGAGGCAUCCUCGCCCGCCUCAGGGUUUUGGUUCAAAACUCUGGAGGCGCGGCGAAUGUUUCUAGAGAUAUUAAAUCGAUGAAUAAAGCGGUGACAGCCGCUGACGCAGUGUUUGUGAGUUUUGGGAUGGAAGUGAAGGAUGGCGCGGAGGGAGGGAAACCUGCCGCCGAGGGCCCUCAAGUUCCUGCCUGUCCCUGUAUGUACUGAGGGUGUGGGAGUUCCUUAUUCUGGCCUCGAGAACUUAGAUUCAGGCGCUUGUGAUACAGUAGGAAGAGAGGUCGAGGUUGCUGGUUGGCGCGUUACACACAUAAGGCCAUUUAUGGCGGGUGUACGCGCUACCCACGCCAUCACAUAUUUGUUGAGACUAGGCAUGUUUAUCCUUAACCAUUUGAUAGUCAUGCACUGUAACAAUGAAUUCGUUGACCAGUUAUGUUAGUUUUGUAUCAAAACUAGGUGGCAGCGACUAACAUUGACACUCAUGUGGACUGUCGAAACAGUUAGCGAAAUACAAAUUCCCUCAGUAUUGUGGAAGGCGCACUGCUUCACUCUCGCUGGCGCGCACAGAACAAUGGCAGGGGACUGGCGGGAAAGUUUGAACUUCGCCCCUUCAUUUCCGCUCUGUUUAUGUGUUAUGGGAGUUAACGCACAGACCUAACGCAAAGACCCGACUGGCGCACAGACCCUCUAGUACUCUAUAUUAUAAAAAGAAUGGGUCCCAGCACUGACCCUUGAGGCACUCAACUAGUGACUGGAAGCCAAUCGGAAGGCUGUCCGUUGAGUAACACUCGUUGUUUUCUGAGGAGGAGGAGG